ACUCCUACGGGAGGCAGCAGUGGGGAAUCUUGGACAAUGGGGGAAACCCUGAUCCAGCCAUGCCGCGUGAGUGAAGAAGGCCUUCGGGUUGUAAAGCUCUUUCAGCCGGAACGAAACGGUCACGGCUAAUACCUGUGAUCACUGACGGUACCGGAAGAAGAAGCACCGGCUAACUACGUGCCAGCAGCCGCGGUAAU
rnacentral:rRNA from 1 species